rnacentral:misc_RNA from 1 species
AUAAUAUAAACAUUAUCUAGAGAUAAAUGGUGUGCAUCUGGCAAUAACUUUAAUCGCUUGGUGAAAUUCAAUUACUUACACUGGGGAUUAAACAGUAGAAAAUCAGGGGUUAUUUCAGAAACAAGAUGAUGAAAAGGCAAGUUUAGGACCAAAGGCUGGACAUUAUUAAUACUAUCAAAUGCAUGCACGAUAUUCAAACGAUCAGUAGGUUGGAAGUUUUAACUGCUAAUUUCAAUGACUUAGAUUGCACAACAUUGAAAGAUCAAUUACAGAAAUCAUUUUCGGUAAGUUAAAU